UUCAAGGAGGAGAUGAUUGACGCCUUUGGUCCGGUUACAGAUGUAACCACAAUCAUUAUGGGCAAUGUGAUACAAAAACUUAAGAAGAUCGUGAUUCUUCUUCACUGCGUUGGACUGUCUGUGAGACCAAACAGACAGGAAACAACUGAACGAGGACGCUACAGGCUAUGAAGAUACACGGGAGGGAGCCGAUGAUCAAUGGUUGCAGCAGUAACAGUGAUGGAUACAUGGGGAACAUGCAUAUAUUAAUAUGAUGCAUUACAUUUCCCCUGGACAUUUUGUGUGAAUGUGUGUUACUGUGUCUUGAGAUAACUAUCACCCUUCUUUGUGGUAUAUUUUGACUGAACUCACACAAUAACAUAAAAAAUAAAGCAUAUGAAAAUCUUCAAA